rnacentral:lncRNA from 1 species
GAAGUUGGAAGUUUACAUACACCUUUGCCAAAUACAUUUAAACUCAGUUUUUCACAAUUCCUGACAUUUAAUCCUAGUAAAAAUUCCCUGUCUUAGGUCAGUUAGGAUCACCACUUUAUUUUAAGAAUGUGAAAUGUCAGAAUAAUAGUAGAGAGAAUGAUUUAUUUCAGCUUUAUUUCUUUCAUCACAUUCCCAGUGGGUCAGAAGUUUACAUACACUCAAUUAGUAUUUAGUAGCAUUGCCUUUAAAUUGUUUAACUUGUGUCAAACGUUUUGGGUAGCAUUCCACAAGCUUCCCACAAUAAAUUGGGUGAAUUUUGGCCAAUUCCUCCUGACAAAGCUGGUGUAACUGAGUCACGUUUGUAGGCCUCGUUGCUCGCACACACUUUUUCAGUUCUGCCCACAAAUUUUCUAUAGGAUUGAGUUCAGGGCUUUGUGAUGGCCACUCCAAUACCUAGACUUUGUUGUCCUUAAGCCAUUUGCCACAACUUUGGAAGUAUGUCCAUUUGGAAGACCCAAUUGCGACCAAGCUUUAACUUCCUGACUGAUGUCUUGAGAUGUUCCUUCAAUAUGUCCACAUAAUUUUCCUUCAUCAUGAUGCCAUCUAUUUUGUGAAGUGCACCAGUCCUUCCUGCAGCAAAUCAACCCCACAACAUGAUGCUGCCACCCCUGUGCUAUACAGUUGGGAUGGUGUUCUUCGGCUUGCAAGCAUCCACCUUUUUCCUUAAAACAUAACGAUGGUCUUUAUGGCCAAACAGUUCUAUUUUUGUUUCAUCAGACCAGAGGACAUUUCUCCAAAAAGUACGAUCUUUGUCCCCAUGUGCAGUUGCAAACCGUAGUCUGGCUUUUUUAUGGCGGUUUUGGAGCAGUCAAAAUCAAAAUCAAAUCAAAUGUAUUUAUUUAUAUAGCCCUUCUUACAUCAGCUGAUAUCUCAAAGUGCUGUACAGAAACCCAGCCUAAAACCCCAAACAGCAAGUAAUGCAGGUGUAGAAGCACGGUGGCUAGGAAAAACUCCCUAGAAAGGCCAAAACCUAGGAAGAAACCUAGAGAGGAACCAGGCUAUGAGGGGUGGCCAGUCCUCUUCUGGCUGUGCCGGGUGGAGAUUAUAACAGAACAUGGCCAAGAUGUUUAAAUGUUCAUAAAUGACCAGCAUGGUCAAAUAAUAAUAAUCACAGUAGUUGUCGAGGGUGCAACAAGUCAGCACCUCAAGAGUAAAUGUCAGUUGGCUUUUCAUAGCCGAUCAUUGAGAGUAUCUCUACCGCUCUUGCUGUCUCUAGAGAGUUGAAAACAGCAGGUCUGUGACAGGUAGCACGUCCGGUGAACAGGUUAGGGUUCCAUAUCCGCAAGCAGAACAGUUGAAACUGGAGCAGCAGCACGGCCAGGUGGACUGGGGACAGCAAGGAGUCAUCAUGCCAGGUAGUCCUGAGGCAUGGUCCUAGGGCUCAGGUCCUCCGAGAGAGAGAAAGAGAGAAUUAGAGAGAGCAUACUUAAAUUCACACAGGACACCGCAUAAGACAGGAGAAAUACUCCAGAUAUAACAGACUGACCCUAGCCCCCCGACACAACUACUGCAGCAUAAAUACUGGAGGCUGAGACAGGAGGGGUCAGGAGACACUGUGGCCCCAUCUGAUGAUACCCCCGGACAGGGCCAAACAGGCAGGAUAUAACCCCACCCACUUUGCCAAAGCACAGCCCCCACACCACUAGAGGGAUAACUUCAACCACCAACUUACCAUCCUGAGACAAGGCCGAGUAUAGCCCAAAGAUCUCCGCCACGGCACAACCCAAGGGGGGGCGCCAACCCAGACAGGAAGACCACGUCAGUGACUCAACCCGCUCAAGUGACGUACCCCUCCUAGGGAUGGCAUGGAAGAACACCAGUAAGCCAGUGACUCAGCCCCUGUAAUAGGGUUAGAGGCAGAGAAUCCCAGUGGAGAGAGGGGAACCGGCCAGGCAGAGACAGCAAGGGCAGUUCAUUGCUCCAGCCUUUCCGUUCACCUUCACACUCCUGGGCCAGACUACACUCAAUCAUAGGACCUACUGAAGAGAUGAGUCUUCAGUAAAGACUUAAAGGUUGAGCCCGAGUCUGCGUCUCUCACAUGGGUAGGCAGACCAUUCCAUAAAAAUGGAGCUCUAUAGGAGAAAGCCCUGCCUCCAGCUGUUUUGGCCUUUCUAGGGAGUUUUUCCUAGGGAGUUUUUCCUAGCCACCGUGCUUCUUUCACAUGCAUUGCUUGCUGUUUGGGGUUUUAGGCUGGGUUUCUGUACAGCACUUUGAGAUAUCAGCUGAUGUACGAAGGGCUAUAUAAAUAAAUUUGAUUUGAUUUGCUAGUGGCAGACUCCACUAAGCUGGCAGGCUGGCUAACAGCCUGCUGCCUGGCCUGCACCCUGUUUCAUUGUGUAGCUUGGGGAGUUAGAGCCCUAUCUAUGUUCGUAGAUAAGAUGAGAGCACCCCUCCAGCUAGGAUGGAGUCCGUCACUCCUCAACAGGCCAGGCGUGGUCCUGUUUGUGGGUGAGUUCCAGAAAGAGGGCCAAUUAUCUACAAAUUAUAUCUUUUGGGAGGGGCAGAAAACAGUUUUCAACCAGCGAUUGAGUUAUGAGACUCUGCUGUAGAGCUCAUCACUCCCCCUAACUGGGAGGGGGCCAGAGACAAUUACUCGAUGCCGACACAACUUUCUAUCUGAUUUACACGCUGAAGCUAUGUUGCACUUGGUGACCUCUGACUGUUUCAUCCUAACAUCGUUGGUGCCGACGUGGAUAACAAUCUCUCUAUACUCUCUACACUCGCCAGUUUUAGCUUUAGCCAGCACCAUCUUCAGAUUAGCCUUAACGUUGGUAGCCCUGCCCCCUGGUAAACAGUGUAUGAUCGCUGGAUGAUUCGUUUUAAGUCUAAUACUGCGGGUAAUGGAGUCGCCAAUGACUAGGGUUUUCAAUUUGUCAGAACUAAUGGUGGGAAGCUUCGGCGUCUCAGACCCCGUAACGGGAGUAGAGUCCAGAGAAGGCUCGGCCUCUGACUCCGACCCGCUGCUUAAUGGGGAGAACCGGUUGAAAGUUUCUGUCGGCUUAAUAAGCGACACCGGUUGAGCAUUCCUACAGCAUUUCUCUCCAGAAGCCAUAAGAAAGUUGUCCGGCUGCGGGGACCGUGCGAGGGGAUUUAUACUAAUGUUACUAUCUGUACUUACUGGUGGCACAGACGUUGUUUCAUCCUUUUCUACACUGAAAUUACCCUUGCCUAACGAUUGCGUCUGAAGCUGGACUUGCAGCACAGCUAUCCUUGCCAUAAGGCGAUCGUUCUCCUGUAUAUUAUGAGUACAGCGACUGCAAUUAGAAGGCAUCAUGUUAAUGUUACUACUUAGCUUCGGCUGUUGGAACUCCUGACGAACCAUGUCCAGAUAAAAUGUCCGGAAUGAACAAGUUGAAUGAAAAAAGUUGAGUGAGGGAAAAACUAAAAAUAUAAACGGUAAUUAAAAAGUAAAAACCGUAAAGUUGUCAGGUAGCAAAGUAAGGUUGGCAACAAAAACGCACAGCAGCACGUAAACAAGUCUGCAAGUUGUCCUGGGAAAAAAAUCGCGUUCGAAUGGAACUUUGGGCAGUGGCUUCUUCCUUGCUAAGCGGCCUUUCAGGUUAUGUCGAUAUAGGACUCGUUUUACUGUGGACAUAGAUACUUUUUCACCUGUUUCCUCCAGCAUCUUCACAAGGUCCUUUGCUGUUGUUCUGGGAUUGAUUUGCACUUUUCGCACCAAAGUACGUUCAUCUCUAGGAGACAGAACGCGUCUCCUUCCUGAGCGGUAUGACGGCUGCGUGGUCCCAUGGUGUUUAUACUUGUGUACUAUUGUUUGUACAGAUGAAUGUGGUACCUUCAGGCGUUUGACUUGUGGAGGUCUACAAUUUUUCUGAGGUCUUGGCUGAUUUCUUUUGAUUUUCCCAUGAUGUCAAGCAAAGAGGCACUGAGUUUGAAGGUUGGCUUGAAAUACAUCCACAGGUACACCUCCAAUUGACUCAAAUGAUGUCAAUUAGCCUAUCAGAUGCUUCUAAAGCCAUGACAUCAUUUUCUGGAAUUUUCUAAGCUGUUUAAAGGCACAGUCAACUUAGUGUAUGUAAACUUCUGACCCACUGGAAUUGUGAUAAAGUGAAAUAUAAGUGAAAUAAUCUGUCUGUAAACAAUUGUUGGAAAAAUGACUUGUGUCAUGCACAAAGUAGAUGUCCUAACCGACUUGCCAAAACUAUAGUUUGUCAACAAGACAUUUGUGAAGUGGUUGAGAAACGAGUUUUAA